rnacentral:rRNA from 1 species
UACGUAGGGUGCGAGCGUUAAUCGGAAUUACUGGGCGUAAAGCGUGCGCAGGCGGCUUUGCAAGACAGAUGUGAAAUCCCCGGGCUCAACCUGGGAACUGCAUUUGUGACUGCAAGGCUAGAGUACGGUAGAGGGGGAUGGAAUUCCGCGUGUAGCAGUGAAAUGCGUAGAUAUGCGGAGGAACACCAAUGGCGAAGGCAAUCCCCUGGACCUGUACUGACGCUCAUGCACGAAAGCGUGGGGAGCAAACAGG